rnacentral:lncRNA from 1 species
UGAAGGAUCAGCCAUACAUCAGUUCUGGCAGUGUUCUUGAAUCACUGCCACCAGCCAGGAAGCACCGAGCUGCAUCCGUCACUGCUUUCCAUAGCACUGCAUUUCUCCUCUCGUUCAGCUGCCCCAUGCUUCUGCAAACCUUUUCUGUACAGGCAGGCUAUUGCUCUCGUGCUGGCAUGAUGCAUUUUUAACGAGCUCUCUUGCAAAGACCACAAGGUACCUCUGUAGCCUUAAGCAGAGACCUUGACGUUUUUUUUAUUAUAUCUUUUUUUUUUUUUUUUCCAAACUGUGCAGAGAAAAAUGCUCUAGUACUCUGAGCAGUACUGACAGCACGAUCCUGGCUGAACAGAAGAUGAAUCAAUGGGGAGAAAAGGCAAGGUGGAAGAAAUAAGUGCAAGUGCUUGGAGUGGUACAUGGAGAUGUUUGGAGAUGUCUGGCUGGUAUUGGUUUUCUCAGACUGAUCUGCAGGAAUUGCUGACCUCACUGGGAAUGUUUGUGCCAGAGAAGCAACUGUGCAAGAGCUUUAGGCUUGGUUUCAUUCUUACCUGCAGAGGCACCAAUAAACAGAAGAAACGUUGGAUGGAGACCAGAGGAGUUUGCAAUUAA